rnacentral:rRNA from 1 species
UAGGGAAUCUUCCGCAAUGGACGAAAGUCUGACGGAGCAACGCCGCGUGAGUGAAGAAGGAUUUCGGUUCGUAAAACUCUGUUGUUAGGGAAGAAAAAAUGUAUAGUAACUAUAUACAAAAGAGACGGUACCUAACCAGAAAGCCACGGCUAACUACGUGCCAGCAGCCGCGGUAAUACGUAGGUGGCAAGCGUUGUCCGGAAUUAUUGGGCGUAAAGCGCGCGCAGGUGGUUUAGAAAGUCUGAUGUGAAAGCCCACGGCUCAACCGUGGAGGGUCAUUGGAAACUAUAAACUUGAGUGCAGGAGAGAAAAGUGGAAUUCCUAGUGUAGCGGUGAAAUGCGUAGAGAUUAGGAGGAACACCGGUGGCGAAAGCGGCUUUUUGGCCUGCAACUGACACUGAGGCGCGAAAGCGUGGGGAGCAAACAGG